rfam:Camelus ferus unplaced genomic scaffold scaffold466, whole genome shotgun sequence.
GAGGGUAUAGCUCAGUGGUAGGGUGCAUGCUUAGCAUGCACAAGGUCCUGGGUUCAAUGUCCAGUAUCUCCA